rnacentral:rRNA from 1 species
GGUGAACGCUGGCGGCGUGCCUAAUACAUGCAAGUCGAGCGAACAGACGAGGAGCUUGCUCCUCUGACGUUAGCGGCGGACGGGUGAGUAACACGUGGAUACCUACCUAUAAGACUGGGAUAACUUCGGGAAACCGGAGCUAAUACCGGAUAAUAUAUUGAACCGCAUGGUUCAAUAGUGAAAGACGGUUUUGCUGUCACUUAUAGAUGGAUCCGCGCCGCAUUAGCUAGUUGGUAAGGUAACGGCUUACCAAGGCAACGAUGCGUAGCCGACCUGAGAGGGUGAUCGGCCACACUGGAACUGAGACACGGUCCUGACUCCUACGGGAGGCAGCAGUAGGGAAUCUUCCGCAAUGGGCGAAAGCCUGACGGAGCAACGCCGCGUGAGUGAUGAAGGUCUUCGGAUCGUAAAACUCUGUUAUUAGGGAAGAACAAAUGUGUAAGUAACUAUGCACGUCUUGACGGUACCUAAUCAGAAAGCCACGGCUAACUACGUG